ACGCACGCUGGCGGCGUGCUUAACACAUGCAAGUCGCACGGAAAGGCCCUGCUUUUGUGGGGUACUCGAGUGGCGAACGGGUGAGUAACACGUGAGUAACCUGCCCUUGACUUUGGGAUAACUUCAGGAAACUGGGGCUAAUACCGGAUAGGAGCUCCUGCUGCAUGGUGGGGGUUGGAAAGUUUCGGCGGUUGGGGAUGGACUCGCGGCUUAUCAGCUUGUUGGUGGGGUAGUGGCUUACCAAGGCUUUGACGGGUAGCCGGCCUGAGAGGGUGACCGGCCACAUUGGGACUGAGAUACGGCCCAGACUCCUACGGGAGGCAGCAGUGGGGAAUAUUGCACAAUGGGCGGAAGCCUGAUGCAGCAACGCCGCGUGCGGGAUGACGGCCUUCGGGUUGUAAACCGCUUUCGCCUGUGACGAAGCGUGAGUGACGGUAAUGGGUAAAGAAGCACCGGCUAACUACGUG
rnacentral:rRNA from 1 species